rnacentral:rRNA from 1 species
GACUCGGUUGGGCGGUCCGCUUAACGGCGUGUACUGUCUGACUGGGCCUUACCUCUUGGUGAGCCAGUGUGCCCUUUAUUGGUGUGCAUUGGGGAACCAGGACUUUUACUUUGAAAAAAUUAGAGUGUUCAAAGCAGGCAUUUUUUAGCUUGAAUACAUUAGCAUGGAAUAAUAAAAUAG